UUUCCAACAAAUCUUAAAUGUAAAUAUUAUUAUGUCCAUAGAUUGAAGUUUCAGGUGGAGAGCAAGAUGAAAAAUAUGCAAAAUUACAUGCAUGCAACCCAUUUAUGCCAUUUUUCUCUUUGUAGGCCUGACCGUUUGUCCUUGAGCCGUAGAUGGUCAACAAUCCGCUAGCUGUCUUGCUCUGACUGGUGCACUGGACAUGAUUUCAAUAGUCAGCCAGACCAUGAUUGAGCUUAAGGGUUGUGCUGCGGAUGCAGCCUGUGCAGUUCCGGGAGAAAGUCACUGUCUCGGGCAAUGCGGUCUGGUAUCAGGUCUGGAUGAUCCUUGCCUGACUGCGGGUUUGUGUACACCUCAAUCCGACUCUGUGUCCUGAACAGAGGCCGCAGUGGUGCAGCGCUUGUGGACGAUCCAUCAACAUCCUGAAAGGUCAACACUACACCAAGCUGGGAAAAUUGAUCCUGAUAGUCAUCCCCAGGUAGUGGAAUGAAUGUUCACUGAACUACAGAGGAAUCACACCCAAAUGACUUUCCUGCCACGACAUUAGUGUGGCCACUCGCGUAGGAAUUCCUUAGCAAACAUGCUCUUUUGCAUGGUGACUGUGGACAUUUUUGCAAAACUUACGCUUUCAACACUGGAUUUUAAAGAGAAUACUUAAUAAAAUGGCGCUAACAGGACUUAUUUAUAUGAGAGAGACCAUCUGGAUGCGCAUGAAGUGUCACUUUGUGUCGUAAGCUGUUGAAGGAGCGAUUUGCGCCUUUUUAAGUGUUAUUUUUGGGUAGCCGGCUUGUAUCGGCUUGAAAGCUGAAAAUUAUGCCUCUCAUCAUAAUAGCAUUAAUUUUUGUAAUUGCAAUGUGUAUGUUUAGAUUGUAAGUGAAGCUUUUAAUAAUAAUUUUCUUAAAAAACAUGAUUUUAUAUGCUGUCAGUGAGUUUUUUAUUGAAAAAAGUGCUUAAAAUUUUAAAAAAGUCUCCUAUUUCAUCAAGAAAAGUACACUGAUUCACAAUCAAUACAUUUAUUUGGGCCUUUUGCUGAUAUAUUGGUGAAUUUCGCAUGCAAUGAUACCAGUUUUUGCCAUGAAAGUUACGCGUAACAAUAAUUGGAGACGCAAAAUCAGCUGUCGUCACUUAGACUAAAAAUCAUGCAUUCCGACUUGACUGCGGCCAAUUUAGUCACCGCUUUAAAUGGCCAUUUUAAGGCCUUUACCCCCAUCCGAAUGCACUGAAAUUGCAUAUUCAUUGUGGAAAUAGUUGAAAUCACAUGUGGAGAAAGUUUGAAAAAGAUAGGACAAAGUUGAGUUCCCUUAAAGGUUACAUUACACUAAAUCAUUGUGUAUCCCUCCGUGGUCCAUUCGAAAGUAGUGCCUAUUUCUAAAGAGUUCCUUUUCUCUUCUUGAAUAUAAGCCAUUUAACAAUGUGAGACAUGUCUUUUGUGGUUAUUUGUAAUAUCCUGUAUGUGUCUGGAGUACUUUGAUGCCUUGGAUUGGAAGCUAACUUAAAAGAUGAACUUUUGAGGGUGUGUUUUCUAUUGUGUGGGGCUUUUGUCGAAAUUAGGAUUCCGAAACACGUUUUUCUACGGUGGGUUCAUUCGACAGCGAUUUUCUUUCUUAGAAGUUGCGAGACGGUAUGUUUUUGAUUGCAAUUAUUGGAAGAUGACAGAUCCAUCUUUAAAAUGAUACCAGGUUCGGGAAAAUUGAUACGUCGGAAAGGCAAGAAAAAUGCUGUGAAAGUUGUCAGUUUUAUAAUGGGACCCUAUGGGAAUCGGAAUUAGUGUAAUAUA